GGCCCGAGGCAGCUGUCCUGAUUGGCCGGAGCUUCCCCGCUACAAAGAGGAGCCACCGGAGCUUCCCUGGGCCCGGUACUGGGAGGAGCCGCUGGAACUCCCCCGUGCCUACUACGAGGAGGAGCCGUCGGAGCCUCCCCAGCCCUGCUGUUACCUGAAGGAGCCGCCUGAGCAUGCCUGGCCGGACUUCCCCGAGGAGCUUCCGGAUCUGCCACCAAGCCCUGGCCUUGAGGAGCCUAUGCUGAUUGACUGGCCUGGACCCGGUGCAACUGACGAGCCCACUGUAACAGCGGACGCGUAAGGAGUCGAUGUGGCUCCCCUCCUGCCCCAGGACCUUCGAGCCCCGGCCCAAUUGAUUACAAGCAGCAGCUGGAGGAGAAAUUGGCAGAAGUGGACCUGAGCCGCCUGGAAAUCCUCUUAAGUGGAGAUCAACAGUCCUCCGCUUUCUGCCUCCCACAUAACUGCCUUACCAAGGGAAAAGAAGUCACGUGUCAGUGUCUACUGCCUUCAUGUCAUGGAAAGCGAGCGAGAGCGAUGGGACCUCAAGAACUACUGAUGCCAAGGAAAAGCUGUCCUACUGGGAGUGGAACAGUCGCCACUCUCAAUGAGAUAACUGUCUGUUUUGGUGAUUGCUCUGCUCACGGCCCACCUUGCUCCUGCUGCGCUUCUAGAGGAAUCAUGGAGGAGCAGCAGCCGAAGGAGAAGGUGGCA